CCUACGGGGGACAGCAGUGGGGAAUAUUGGGCAAUGGGCGCAAGCCUGACCCAGCAACGCCGCGUGAAGGAAGAAGGCUUUCGGGUUGUAAACUUCUUUUCUCAGGGACGAAGCAAGUGACGGUACCUGAGGAAUAAGCCACGGCUAACUACGUGCCAGCAGCCGCGGUAAUACGUAGGUGGCAAGCGUUAUCCGGAUUUACUGGGUGUAAAGGGCGGGUAGGCGGGGACGCAAGUCAGAUGUGAAAACCACGGGCUCAACCUGUGGCCUGCAUUUGAAACUGUGUGUCUUGAGUACUGGAGAGGCAGACGGAAUUCCUGGUGUAGCGGUGAAAUGCGUAGAUAUUAGGAGGAACACCAGUGGCGAAGGCGGUCUGCUGGACAGCAACUGACGCUGAGGCGCGAAAGCGUGGGGAGCAAACAGGAUUAGAUACCCCUGUAGUC
rnacentral:rRNA from 1 species